rnacentral:misc_RNA from 1 species
UACGGAGGGGGCUAGCGUUGUUCGGAAUCACUGGGCGUAAAGCGCGCAUAGGCGGUUUAUCAAGUUGGGCGUGAAAGCCCGGGGCUCAACCCCGGAUGUGCGCUCAAGACUGGUAGGCUCGAGUCCGGGAGAGGUGAGCGGAAUUCCCAGUGUAGAGGUGAAAUUCGUAGAUAUUGGGAAGAACACCAGAGGCGAAGGCGGCUCACUGGACCGGUACUGACGCUGAGGCGCGAAAGCGUGGGGAGCAAACAGG